UUAAAAGUUCUACAAGCAUGAAAUCAUGUUACUACCAGAAAGAUGGCAAAAUGUGUUGGGCCAAUAUAUACUGUAUAAUUGAAUAAAAUAUAUAUUAUAAAAAAUUGUCGUUCAUUUUCAUGAAAAAAAUGAAAUUACUUUCCAAACAACCCUAUAGAAUGGAAUGACUUGCUUAGAUGGAGUUCCAACUGUGGCAUACAAUGGAGUUUGCUGUUAUGAAAAUACAAGUAGUCCUCGAUUUAUGGCAGGCUUCAGUUUUGAAUCUCACUAUUGUAAAUUGGAAUGGUCAUAAAUCAUUAAUGACUUAUGGAGCAUUAUUUCUCAGCAUACAUUAUCUUAAUAAAUAUAAAGAAUACACAUCUACAAAAAUCAAACCACAAAAAAAGGACUCACUUUCCAUAUAUCAAACGAUUGGAUUGGAAUUCUAUUGACUAAUCAUGGAAUUUACUGAUUACAUCAUUGUCAUAAGUAUGAGUAUUCAUAAAUCAGGGUAUUUGUAAGUUGA
rnacentral:lncRNA from 1 species